rnacentral:rRNA from 1 species
UACGGAGGGUGCAAGCGUUAUCCGGAUUCACUGGGUUAAAGGGAGCGCAGGCGGAUUGGUAAGUCAGUGGUGAAAUACCUGAGCUUAACUCGGGAACUGCCAUUGAUACUACCGGUCUUGAAUAUUGUUGAGGUAUGCGGAAUGGGUCAUGUAGCGGUGAAAUGCAUAGAUAUGACCCGGAACACCAAUUGCGAAGGCAGCAUGCUAAACAAAAGAUUGACGCUGAGGCUCGAAAGCGUGGGGAUCAAACAGG